rnacentral:rRNA from 1 species
GAUCCUGGCUCAGAUUGAACGCUGGCGGCAGGCCUAAUACAUGCAAGUCGAACGGUAACAUAAUAAAAGCUUGCUUUUAUUGAUGACGAGUGGCGGACGGGUGAGUAAUAUCUGGGAAACUGCCUGACAGAGGGGGACAACAACUGGAAACGGUUGCUAAUACCGCAUACACCCUGAGGGGGAAAGUCGCAAGACGCUGUCAGAUGUGCCCAGAUGGGAUUAGCUAGUAGGUGAGGUAAAGG